rnacentral:lncRNA from 1 species
AAACUAGACUAGAAGCAAGAAAGGAGUUGACAAGAGUGAAGAGGGCUUCACUCUUGCCUCUAUAUAUACUAUCUAACUAGAAGCCACGUGGCGAUGUUCUAUAAGACCUCCAAUAUAUAUUGACUUUCUAGGCCACAUGCCUUUGCUUGCAAGGCAAGUUUUCUAUGGAUGGACCACGUAGUUAGCUUGUUCUUUAAGCUUCCAACAUGCGUGGCACAUGGCUAACUUGUUGACCAAGUUUCUAACGUAAAAGUCAACUAUAGACUCCUAUAAAGUCAAAGCAGCGUCUAUGAAGCUUCUAAGAAGCUUCUCUAGAAGAUAUUACACAAUUAACCUACUUUUACAUACUUUUAUCUAUUCAUAUAGGUAAUUAUAUGUAUGUCCGUGACAUUUAUAUCUCGUCUCUAUAGUGACUUCUAGUGCUUGAAAAGAUUCAAGUAUGGUAUAAACCUCUCUUGAAUGAAUCUCAACAAUCUUAUCAUUAUCCCCUAAUCCAAUAGAUGUAAUCAAUUCCAAUGAAUCUUCCAACCCAUUUUCUUCAUAAACACCUAAAAUCCUCUCAUCAUCUUGCAAUGUACCUAACUUGCGUAAUUGUCCUUCAAUAUCAUAUAAUCUUUUUCUUUCUUUUCUUUUAAAAUCAUCAACUUUCAUAUACAUAAUAUUUCUAUUUUCCAAUAUACCAAUAAAACUCGAAUCAAAGGCACCUUCAUCUUACGAGAGUACCUCCUCCUUUGUACCUCCAUAAUCUCGUUUUACAGUGGUACCUCCCCAAAAUCCUUAAAUCCUUCAACAAUCUUUGGCAAUGGUUUCUCCCUCAACCUAUCUCGAUUUCGUUCAUGGUUAGGAGGUACUGUUAGAAAUUGUACAGCUUUCCUCCCAUCUUCGCUACGUACCCUUGCAUAAGUAGAACCAUCGUCAAAUACUUUUGUUUCCAUCUGUGUUGUCAUAAUAUAAGGUUGUCCUAAAAUCAACGGAUAAGACGUUGUAUCUUGAACAAAGAAAUGUUGCUCCGUCACAACAUCCCCAAUCCGAAUUUUGACAUCUGGACAAGCUCCAUAUAAUUCGCCCUGUGUGUUAUUAGCUGCUCGAAUUGCCCAUCCAUGUUCCAUAUCAAUUGACUAUUUUUGUUUCUUAUAAAGAUCUUUAGACAUGAGAUUUAUUUCAGAACCAUGGUCGACUAAAGCAACAAUUGGUUCUUCUAUAUGUCAUAUUUUCACCAAUACCUCAGUAGUUGCCCUUGCCAAAUGCUUUCGAGUAUAAUGGCUCAAAGUUUCCAUUUCAUUGUCACUAGAAUCUUUGAAAUGUACUCGUUGAUUAUACCCAUUCUUUUCAUUUGUUGGUUGCUUGUAACCAAUAUCAACCUCUUCUUCAUCUCCAUAUAUUCUUGCAUCAAUAGCAUAACUCAUUCCAGUUUCGCCCAUUAAUUGCCUCUUUCGCUUAAUGCUGUCAAUGAUGACGUCAUGAAAUUCCUUCUUUGCAAUUUCCAAGAUUUCUUUCAAUGUGAAUUCCACCUUAGCAUUUAAUAUAUGUUCUUCCUACACCCCUUUCAAAUUUGUUGCCGCUUCAAUGUCAGAAAGUAGCUUAUAAGCAAUUGAUUUGUCCUUAUCUUUUGUCUCUUUUAUUUUUUCUGCCAAUGAUGCUGAGAUAUCCUUUACAGGCAAUUCUUGUGAAGCUGCCUCCCAAGCCUUGUCUCCUCGAGUUUGCCUCUUAGAAGAAUUUCCUUUUCUAGUAUCAUCAAAAUUUCCUUGUCUCUUUUCUUCCAUCAAAGCUUCAUGUUGGCUCUUAGCAAUAUAUGCAUGAACUGAAAGAGACUCAACAAGAUCCUCCCAACCUAUUCUACCUCGUAUUGUAGCUGCAGUUCUUAAUAACGCUUCUCGAGGUAAUUUCCCUUCUUGCAUUGUAGAAACGUCAGAAGCCCAAAACUCACUAGUUUCCGUACUUCCACCAAUUUCAUCAUCUACUCUGGCACCAUAACUUGUACUUUCUCGUGCUGCUGUUUCAUGCUCUUUUAGGUAAUCUUGAACCAAUGCUCUCAUUCCUCUCUUACCAAAAUUGGUUUCAAGAAGAUCCUCUCUGUUUUUCAAUGCUAUCUUCCCAUCUUUCGAGCAAAUAAUUCCCUGCCGUAUCAUAUUAUUAAAUUCAUUGCAAUCUUUUCUAGUGUGUGAAGCAUCAUUACACCAAAUACAUCUUUGUACAUAUCCUUAUUUUGAAACAUUCUUCGAAUUGUUUGUAGAAGUAUUCUCUUCAAGUCUUGCCAAUUUGAUUUGAAGAUCUCGCAUUCCUCAUAUAAUUUCUUCCAUUACCAUAUCUGCUUUCUUUGAUAAGGAUGUCGAAGGUUGAAUUGUAGGCAUUGUUGGUGGUGUUGUAUGCACUGGAGCUUUGGAUGCUUGUACUGUUUUUGGAAUAUUGCUCCUAUCCUUCCUCCUUUCUUUUUUUGUAAGUAACCCCACCGCAUCUUCAACGUUCUUCUACUUCGUUGUCAAUCCUUCAUCUUCUUCUGUGUCUUCAAGAAGGAGUUCUAAUUUCCCUUGCAAUUCUCCAUCAGCAGCUUGAAGAAAUAGAUCAACUUUAUUCGACUCCAAUGUCAUUUUUUCUACCUUUGACAAUUGAGAGUACUGCCUCUCAAAUUCUCUUAGUAGCUCUGUUGCUUGGAAAUUCUUAUUGGACCGUUCAAUCCAUUCCAGAAACAGCUUCUUAGUAACAUGAUCAGCAUCUUCUAAGAAAUAUUCGUCUUUCAAUGCAUGUGAAAAAAUCUCCCAUGAAUUCCCAUAAUGAUCCGUAAUCAAUGUAAUGUGGUCUCUUAUCUCCGGUAUCAUCGCAAGUCCAAAUAGUUCAACCAUUUUCUUCUCAAAAACCCGAUUUAAUUCCAUUUCACGAACAUAACAUCUUAAAUACCUUGAAAUAUUUCUGCCAUCAAAUUGAUCAAUUUUACUGAUCACUGCUUGCAAUGCUUUGGUUGCCAAAGCUUCCUUUCGAUCAUUGCUUUGCUGUUGAUGCAUUGAUAAUGAGAAGGCUUCAAACAUAUUAGUAAUAGAUGGAUCCAUGUGCAUACCUUAUGCUUUAGAAGAAUCCUCACCAAAAACUCCUCCCAAAAAUCCUUCAAAAUUUUAAUUUUCGUUUUCCAUAAAAUAAAGAUAAAAUCAAACGAAAUCCAAUACCUUCCACCUCAAUCUUUCACGUCAGGUUCACCACUUUUGUCGUAUUACGUGCUUUCCUACUCGAGAACGCGUCGGGCGUCUGGCUGUAAAAGGUAGUAUGGAGAUUCGCCAAUAGUCAAGCAGUCUAUCAGUUUUUGACUGUUGGAAUAUAAACGACUACAAGAAUACACCGUAAAUCUAUACGGAUGCCCUUCGACUGCUCACCAAAGUUCUUUUUGUCCCGGCCAGUAGGUCUUUAGACGUUACAGAGAACCCCAAACAACCCAAACUAUUAAUCUUCAAUACCCCUUUGUACUUACGAUCUUGUAUCCACUGACUGUCCUGUUAGAUUAACCCAAUAAAUUUCAUUCACUCCGCAUACUCAAUCCUAUAGACACCCCUUUAAUCCUUCAAUCACAGACGUAACUCGAUUUUACAAAAUAAUCAAGAGUAUUCAAACCCACUUCAUUAAAAAAUCCCGAUUCACCAUUACAACACUGACUUCAGCAACGAUUGCCUCAGUCUUCCCAAAACCCUAUGAAGAAAAAAAAUCCAAUUCUCCGUCUUUUCUUCCCCGACCUGAAGCAUGAAGCUCCUCUCCAAUCUCCUUGAUCUUCAAAAAAACCUCUAAUGAAAACCAAACUAAUAACCUUCAAAAAAAGCUUGAAGCUAGCUCUUCCAUCCAAAAAGAAACCCCCCCAAAAAACUUAUUCUCUCCCUAACCUUAUCCUCUGAAUUUCUUCAAUCUUUCGUCUUGGAUCCAGAAUUGGCUCCCACCGUCAGAGCUUAGAUCCAAAAUUGGCUCCCGUCGUCAGAGCUUUUCUCCUCCGUUUUAAUCUUUAAGAGAUCCAUUUAUCGAAAACAACGUUCUCUGAAACGGCACAGAGAAUAGGACAGCCUAAAACAGAAUCGAAACCCCGUACUCAGGUCCACAUUGAGUCGCCCGACCAAUUCAAGUCUCAUAUUGAGUAAGAUGCUUGUAGUAACCUGGAUGUUCGCGUAAUUGGGUCCAAUUGGUCCUCACGUCAGAUUGGCUAAGGUCCGUAGUAAGACCUGGAUUUUCCCGUAAUUAGACUGCAUUGGGUUGCCCGGCCAAUUUAGGUCUCAUAUUGGGUAAGAUGCCCGUAGUAAGACCUGGAUUUUCCCAUAAUUGGAUCAAAUUAGUCCUUCGCGUCAGACUGGCUGAGGCCCGUAGUGUCAAGGACAAGAACUCGAUGAAAGCUAAAGAGUAAGUGAGACUUUUCUCAAAGAAAUAGGACAAAAUAGAAAUAUGUAUAUUAAGAAAGAAAUUAGAAUGGCUAUUGCCAAAAUACAAGAAAACUAAAGACCCUUGAAACUAGACUAGAAGCAAGAAAUGAGUUGACAAGAGUGAAGAGGGCUUCACUCUUGCCUCUAUAUAUACUAUCUAACUAGAAGCCACGUGGCGAUGUUCUAUAAGACCUCCAAUAUAUGUUGACUUUCUAGGCCACAUGCCUUUGCUUGCAAGGCAAGUUUUCUAUGGAUGGACCACGUAGUUAGCUUGUUCUUUAAGCUUCCAACAUGCGUGGCACAUGGCUAACUUGCUGACCAAGUUUCUAAUCUAAAAGUCAACUAUAGACUCCUAUAAAGUCAAAGCAGUGUCUAUGAAGCUU